UCAAAUUCAAUUCCGCUUUGAAAAAAAUAAAAAAUAGAAUGUAAAAUAAGGGAUUAUCAAUUAAUCAAACCUGAAGAGAUUAAAUGAAUCGGGCGAAAUUUCAAUGAAGAAAUUGAAAACUAAGUGGGAGAUAUUCAGUUUAAUAAAGAAACUAGGAGAUAUUCAAGGUGAAACUUAUCCAUUUGGGAGAUAUUCACUUUAAUGGAGAAAAUUGAAGAUGAAGUAUGUGUGGGGUGGGGG
rnacentral:lncRNA from 1 species